UAACGANNNNNACCUGCUCUAUGAUUAUUUAAAUGGCCGCAGUAUCUUGACUGUGCAAAGGUAGCAUAAUAAUUUGUUCUAUAAUUGAGGACUGGAAUGAAUGGUUUGACGAGAACAAACCUGUCUCUUUUAGAUUAUUUAGAAUUUUAUUUUUGAGUGAAAAAGCUCAAAUUUUCUUAAAAGACAAGAAGACCCUAUUGAGUUUUACUAUUAAUUAAAUAGUAUUUUUUUAUAGUUUUAAUUGGGGCAAUUAAAGAGUAAAUAAAAUCUCUUUUAUUAUUAUAAAUAGAUAUAUUUUGAUCCAUAUUAAUGAUUAAGAAAAAAAAUUACCAUAGGGAUAACAGCAUAAUUUUUCUUAAGAGUUCUUAUUAAGAAAAGAGUUUAUGACCUCGAUGUUGGAUCAAAACAUCCUAAAGGUGCAGGAGCUUUUAAGGGUUGGUCUGUUCGACCAUUAAAGUUUUA
rnacentral:rRNA from 1 species